UACGAACUGUGCGAACGUUAUUCGGAAUCACUGGGCUUAAAGGGUGCGUAGGCGGUCCGUUGGGCAGGGUGUGAAAUGCCAGAGCUCAACUUUGGCAUGGCGCCCUGAACCGGCGGACUGGAGGGCGCUAGGGGUGUGCGGAACUUCCGGUGGAGCGGUGAAAUGUGUUGAGAUCGGAAGGAACGCCGUUGGCGAAAGCGGCACACUGGGGCGCAUCUGACGCUGAGGCACGAAAGCCAGGGGAGCGAACGGG
rnacentral:misc_RNA from 1 species